GGCCGACUGGCCUAAUGGUUAAGGCGUCAGUUUCCGGUUAUUUGUUAGCUGAAGAUUCUGGGUUCGAAUCCCAGGUUGGUCG